ensembl:lncRNA
UUGGGGGAGGGGGAGGUGAAAUGUAACUGGGGGAGGAGGAGGGGGAGGUUACAUUGUAUCAUAUUUUUUCUGUAAUUCUACAGUGAUGUAAAAAGUGAAGGCUAUCUGAAGGCAGGACUUUAGUAGUAAAUGUUGUACAUCACAAAACGUUUGUCGUUUGAAGUCGAGAGAUUACACAAUACCACUUUCUCAAUACGUACAAUACAGAAACCUCGAGGCUCAGACAGUACAGAUCCAUCUCAUAUCCAUCUGAUAUCAUUUCUGUCAAAACUACCAAGUGAUAAAAUGUUGUUUUUUUAACUUCACAGUUAAACUCUUUCUUUCACACAAAAAAUAUAAUAAAAUAUAGAUGUAAUAAAAUCAAUCCUGAAUAAAAUCAGUCACUUAUAUGUAAAAUAUUUCCAGUUCCAAAAAUAUAUUUCUUUUCCAAAUCCAUUUCCAGUCUUGGCCUGUAUUUAUCACAGGAUCCGAUAUGUUUUUUUGCUGGUUUCGGCCAACUGCUGAUACCAGAUACUGGGUUUGGGAUCGGUGCCAUGAUUAGUACAAACGAAUCAUGCUUAAACAAGCUAGCAAGGUUACAAUCAGGACAGUGCUGAUUCCAGCUUGUCCUUAAGGGCUAUAUAUUAGAUUUAGUUCCACACCAAGCAAAAUUUAGUAGAGAAUUCGAUCUUGGAUUAGUCAGCAUGACGCAACAGUGUAAGAUAUUCAAAUUCCUGAUGGUAUCUUGGUGUAGGCUUGCAGAAAUAAGAAAGCACUUUUUGUUUGCUUUUGGCCCCAUAUGCCUCACUACUUCCUGUAGUAACUAAGAGUUAUGCAAAUCUACUUUGUUUUUGCAUUUGGCACGGAUCCGUGUUUGGCUCUCCCGACUCCAUGUUAUGGUUUUCGUACUCUCAAGGCAAGUCCUUUGUAAAUGAAAUCCAUCUGCUGGGUCUGCCUUGCUUUGUGACCCUUGACCCAUGAGUGCUGCACAGUUUAGGUUUCUCACAGGAGAGUUAACUUUAGCUGGAAGGAGAAACAGCGGAGGACGGCAAGAAUGCCAUCAUCAGAAUCGUUUUUUUUUCUUUUUUUUAACCUCCAUGCUGACAUCUUGAGGCAUUUCACAACGAUUGCACGUUCCUUCUCAUCGAGAAAGAUGCUUAUAGCGCACAGAAGCGUGGCCGCUAUUGUUGACGGACGUUUACACGAUCCGUCGCUGUGAAAUGGUGUACGCACGGGCGAGGAUCCUCCACGGGUUUGCAGAUAGCGCUCUUGGGGAGGAGGUUGCCUGUUGGUCACUGGGGCAGUGGUGGCUUAGCGGUUAAGGCUCUGGUUUAAUGAUCAGAAGGUCGGGUGGCGCUGCCAAGCUGUCCCUGUUGGGCCCUUGAGCAAGGGCCUUAACCCUCUCUGCUCCAGGGGGCGCUGUAUCAUAGCUGAACCUGCGCUCUGAUCCCAACUACCCCAUGCAGAAUGUCACCGUGCUGUAACGUAUACGUGGCCAAUAAAGACUCAUUAUCAGUAAAGAAAUGGGAGUUGUUCACUGAUUGUCAAAGUUGUUGCUCUUGAGAAGCUCUUUUUGCGUCAUUGGGGAAACUUUAAUGAUCCCUAAAAUAAGAACUCGCAAAAGGUUGCAACACAUCCGCAGCUGUGGCAGAGAGCGGGAGUCCGGAGUCUGCAGCUGUUUGUCGCGUAGUCAGUUUUGGAACCACAGAAUCGAGGGCACCGCGGCCUCUUGGCGAGUCGGCUUGCAGGUGGAAAUGAGACUGCAACUCCUCAACAGCUGCAGUAUAGUACGUCACUCCCUUAAACUUCCUGUUCUGUAAACUCGGAUAUCCCGUGGGACUUGGAGCCCGAAGCACGUAGCCUGAAGUCUUGAAGCCUGGUGACUUUCCCUAUUAAAAAAAAUCUGCUGUCUCCAUGUCUGCUCACUGGGUGUUUGAGGAUGGUGCCCCGUUUCAGCCUAUUUCAAAGAAUGGUUUUGAAUUACACAAAGGCUGAAGUGUGGUUUUCUGGAGAGUGCACUGUUAUGCAGAGACAAUAGGGGGUUGUUGAAAAGAGACUGUCUGGCCGUGAGGGUCUCGUCAGGGGGGUGAUUCACAUAAAAAUAUCUCCACAUCGCUCUCAGACACUUGUUUAACCAUUUCUGGACAUCUGAUCUGGCCGGAGGAGUCGGAUUUGAGACUCGUCUACUCUUUUCUCCCCUGAACACACCAAAUCAUGAAAUAUUUAAAGAGAUUUUUUUUUCCCCUCAUUGCUUGAGUCUCACUCCAGAUGUGAUCUGCUAUAGGAUUCCUUGAGGAUUCCUUCAAUGUCAGCACUGUCAGCCAUCAUCAGAGGUUACUCACGCUCACUGCCUGGUGCUUAGCCAACAUCAUACCGAGGCGUGAACCUCAUCUGUCUGUCUCUCUCCCUCUCUGUCUGGGCACCAGCACUGUUCUUUCCAUCAUGGUCAGCAUGUCUGUAGCUCAAAAGUGUGGGAUAAUAACUAACAAUGAUCGAUUCUUGGUCGAGGCUGAAAUUCAGGAAAUUGAAAAGCUGUAUUUUUAUUCUACAUCAGAGAUGUUGGUAGAAACUUCAUUGAAAAACGAAGAUGAAAAAAUGAACAAUAUGCGAACGUGGGAUUUGCUUCUUUAUGCCAUAAAACGGAUCAGGUAGCGGCUGAAUAUCAGAUGUACACAAAAAGCCCCAGAAUUUCAGUUUGAAGUCCGGAUUACUAUGAACCACCCCUGGAACUGAAACAUUAUAUUUAUAAGCCCAACAGCAAUGUUUUUACACGUCGAGUUCGUUAAAAACAGCCCAGGUGCUGGGAAUCUUGCUCAAUCUGGCAACGAGUCACUGGUACUAUUUGUAGAAAUGAGCCGUGCACGACGGUUUAAAUUAAGCACUAUUUUUAAUUGUUAUUGAUUUCACUUUUGGUGCAUUACUAACCAACCCCCACCACCCCCCCGCCCGUCCCCGGCUACCACCAAGUCCAAUUAAUUUCCUUCUGAUAAAGUUUUAUAAAUGAAUAUGUUCAAUAUUUUGAGCUAAGCGUUUCUCACUGUAAACGGUCAACUGGAAACUUUUCAUCUCCUAUCAGAAUAUAUAAAAAUGCAGAAGAGAAGAAAGGACGGCGUGCUAGCAGGCACGAUUAAUGCUCAGGCAUUAUCUAGAUGCAUGGUCGAGCUUUGGAAUGUUGUGCUAAGCGAUGCUGUUAGACAGGUGGCUGGAAGGGGGUCGUGUUAAUUGAUUAAUGAGAGCAGUGAUCUACGACAUCCCCCUCCACCCCCUACAGGCAGCUCUUAAAGCAACACUGUCGCCCUAAAUCAUCUCCUACCAGCUCAGGGAAGAAGAGCCUGAACAAUUACUGGGAUUAGCAUAAUAAUAUGCCCUCGCUUGCCCAUUGUAAGGUUUGGCUAUUGAGAACUUGGCCUUUUCGUUUGGGGCAUCGCAAACAACAAAUGGCUUAUAAAUUCCUGUGUUUAAUUUAUGACUAAUAGACACUGGCAUGUUUUUUUGUGUUGCAUGAACGAUCUCGGGCCCACAUGAUGCCUUCAGUGCGCAAAAAUGAAGAAGACAUGUCCCCUAUACUCAAAAACCUGUCUCCUGGACCAAGUACAAAAUAACCUUACAAGCACCUUCUGCUCUAUUUCCGAUUUGCGAGAGUCUGAAGAGAAAUAAAUGAUGAAAACAUUGAGCAACACUGUCUGUGUCCAAUUUUUGACUUUAAUACCGACCUAUGGUUUCGGAUACACCUAGUGAUAAACAGUGUUUCGGCAGCUUAGGCCAAAAUCGCGGUCGAGCAAACUCCGACUUCCCACAUGAGAUUGUUUGUUUACAGUUUUGGAGCAUGAUCUCGCUGAGUAACGCUGAAACCUGAGCUGAUUCUGUGGUUCACCACUGAACGAAACACUGAUUUGCAGUAUCGAGGCUCUUUUCCUCCAGCUUGAGUCAGACAAAUACUGUCCCCAUGCAGCUGUGAUCCAUAUUACGCCACUCUUGUCAAGGAAUAUUAAUCAUUUCUCCAUGCGGCAAGGUUCCGUCUGACCCUCCGUCGGAUCUGGAGUUUCAGAGUUCGUUUCCACAGGGGGUCUCCAAGCUCACGUCCCGGGAACUCCAUUCCCGUUGUCCUGGUCUUGGUUCCAGGCUCCAGACUCAGCGGGACACGGAAGCUUUCCGGGACCCCUGCAAAUUCCUCUGUGAAUCUGAAAGUGGAGGCCGACGCCAACGGGAGGCAGCUUUGCUGCUCAGGUUGUGCAAAAAUAUUGGCGUGUGGAGUCGGAGGCGAUGUACUGCUGAUUCUCGGGUGUGUGCGCACGUAUUUAUUUAUACUUCCUAUAUACCUUUUGCCGUAGAGCCCAGCGAGAUCAGCGCAACAGCUCUCAUGAAUAGUUAAGGUAAAUCUGGUCUGAACAAUCUCUGCUGUCUUGGCAUCCCAUUGAGAACCCUGUAUGGUUUCUUGGUGAGUAUAUGUGUGUGUGUGUGUGUGUGUGUGUGUGUGUCCAGCCAGGACAUAUCAUGCAGAGAACUGUCUAACUUGCCUAAUGAAAUCAGCUUUUCAGUUACGAUGGUUGACAGCUUUGGUCUCUCUGCUCAGUUUGAUCUGUUUCACCAUGCAUUCCGAAAGCCAAAUAAAUCCAGCGAAUCACAUCUCCGCCAAACAGUGUCAAGACAAAAAAAAAAAAAAAGGAUUGCGCUCAAAUCUGUCACGUCAUGAGAAAUCGCAGGAAAAACUGCCCUGCACCCGGUGCGCAGCAUGUGAUCUGUUCCACAUCAUGAUGCUCUUGUCAAGGAAUAUUAAUAGUUCUUGGCCACAGUGAGGUUCCCUCCACCCCUCCAUCAGCUCUGGAGUUUUGCAUUUUAUGGUUUUGUUUCCACAGGGGAUCUCUGGCUUAUGCCCCCACGCCUUAACCCUCAUUGUCCUGGUCUUGGUCCUUGGCUCGGGAUUCAUGACUUGGCAGCUUUUCAGGACUCCCUGCUUGUUCCUCUGGGAGCCAGAGGGUGGAGUAUGAUGUGCAAGUAUCUAAGAGCUAGACUAGCAUUACAGUUCUGCUCAGUCGUGUAACCUUUGGGUGUAUACACACAGUCGGCCGUCUCGCAUCUCAAGGCCACGUGUGUUUCCUUGGCUUGUAUACGCCUCCCAAGAUUCACUCCUCCACUUGUAGUGUCGUCCUCCUCAGGACUUUUCUUGGUAAAAUUGCAAAAACCUCAAGUUUUAUUGGCUCCCACCGCAGUCGUGGUUCUUCUUUAAGGCAAGAUGCAGUUUUUGAAAACAUUAAGAUAUCACAAUCGGUCUGCGCCGCUUGCUGAUAUUCUGAUAUUUGUACACAUUUUGGCAUUGGGAGGUUUUCUUGAAAUAUGCGGUUAUUUAUGCAAAUAAGGCUCCGUCUAAUUAAAUAUGCAUACAUAAACAGAUUUGAAGGAUUUUUUUGUUUUUAGAAAUAUGAGGUGUUUCCACUCUACUCUCUACAGGAAAUUGAUGUGUGCAUCCUAAUGGCAUGUUACUUGACCUGACGACAAGCUUUUCAUGGAUAUAUGAUUGUGGAGUGGGCGGGGCUUGAACCCCCGCCAGUGGACAAAACAGUGAAAUUUUAAGAGUAGACAUGUUAGAGAUGUAAUUCAUCCAAAAGUCGUUUUUUGGAUUUCUACCGGAAGGGUCUUGCUUUAGAAUAAGACCCCAGCUCUUACGCUGGCUUUAGGAGAGAGAAUGUGGAAAUCUGUCUGCUUAAGGCUCCUGUUUCAUCUCCCGUAUCUUCUACAAAGAUAAAAGAAGGGAGCACGUGACGGAGAAUGAGAGCGAGAGAGAACGAGAGAGCGAGAGCGCCAGUCCUGAGCCGGCCCCGUGCUGCAAACGGGAAACGAGCUCCUCUGCAAGACAGGAUGUGGGGUCGGGGGUCACAUGGGGGGCCCAGGCACGGCGCAAACGACUGUGAGGUUGGAAAACGAGAAAGAAGUGCCGGGAAAGACCUGGAGUUAGCUUUGGACCGGUCGUGCUUUCUCGUUUGUGACUAACCGAACUCGUAUUGUUAGUUUAAGCAGGAAAUCACCAGCACAGAUAACAGAUUUAUGUAUAUUAGAUAAUAAUCAUGUUGUGUUUAUGUCUGAUGAGGAAAAAUAUUACUUGGGAAUAAUUCCCACUUCCCACCUUGGUUUGAGAAGAUGUUCAACAUGAACAUCUAUGUAUGCUAACCCUAGCUAAAUAUUACAUUAAAAUCUACAACCACCAUUUUGAGUGAAGUCAGAAUAGCGUGGAAUUUUCCCGUACUCCGGAAUUCUCCCACGUGACCAACAUAGCCACAGUUACCUCCUCUUGUUAAAGUUUAAAAUCGCUGGUGAAUAUGAUAAUGCUGAAAACGCCAAAAAUGAUGGUGCAGAUGCCGAGUAGCGAGCUUGUGCUGCUUAAGUGGAUAUUUCCGGAUUCUUCGGCGCUGGCAGAAGGACACCGAUGGGAUCUCGAACCCUGGGAUAUUAUGGUUAAAUGAAUAAAAAAAAUUGUAUUGAAUUGCCCCAUAACAUUGCUGUAUUAAGCGGAUAAGCUUCUAGCUGCUAGGGUUAGCUCUGUGUGUGUGUGUGUGUGUGUGGGUGUGGGUUUGGGUGGUGGAGGAUUUUUAGCAGUUGGGUAUAGUGUUGAACAGUGUGUGCGGUGUGUUGCCCUCUGGGAGAUGUUUCACACCAUGUUUCUGUGGUCACACACACACACACACAGAGUACUGUUAUGUAGCUCACUUCCUCAUCAUAGCUUUUUGGCAGACACACACACACACACACACACACACACACACACACACUUGGAACGAGGCAAAACCUCAUCCCUGUCAGUGAUUAUUUCCUGUUUUUGUUUCAUAUCCCUCCAUUACUCACAUCUCUCUCUCUCUCUCGCUCUCGCUCUCUCGUUCCCGCCCUCUUCAUUUCACCCAUCAUAUUCAGGUUUGUUGACUCCUGGAUGCCGAUUGGUCGGAAUGCAUUGGUUCGUUUUCUAGAACUGCGGCUCUGUGUAGCGCGGGUUUAUGUUAACGCGCUCAUUCUUAAUUCGUUGCCGUUUCUAUAGUAACGUGCCCAUGAAUGGGAUGUUAUGGAAUGGAAUGUGGAAGGAGUCUCCAGUGUCAGUCCUUUAUAAGAGUCGGAAGUAAAUCUGUAACUUUAACGACAUCUUGGAGACGAACCGGUCGACACGCUGCGGUCUCUAACACGACAAGCUGCGUUUUGGUUUUGGGGGGUUGCAUGUGCGUGUGCAGGUGUGUGUGUGUGUGUGUGUGUGUGUGUGUGUGUUUGUGUGGUUCCAUAUUAAAGCUCUCUCUUUCACAGCCAUGAAUGUUGUUUAAAGGAAGCUGUAAGAGACCAUUUUGGCAGCCCCACUGUAAUUGUGUGUGUGUGUGUGUGUGUGUGUGUGUGUGUGUGUGUGAGGUGGUUCACUAUAUUAAACACACUAUUAAGUCGGCGUAUUAAGUGUGCAUCUGUGUUGUAUGUAAUAGAGCUGUUCAGUUAAUAGUGUCCUUAAUAUAGUGUGUGUGUGUGUGUGUGUUACACUGUCCACGGUCCUGCUUCAUCUUCUGACAGAAUCUUGGCAGCCUGAACCAUAAAUACGUUUUCCGUGCCGUUCCUGAGCAGCGACGCUCUCCCUCCUACAAAACACACACACACACACACACACACACACACAUACACACGUCCAGUGCAGUUGGGCUGAGCUGCACACUCUUUUAAAGGAGCUGCUGCCCUUUUCUGUCGAUUAAUGGACAAAAAAAAAAUAUCACAAAACAAUGGACUCCACCUUCAUCUCAUUAGACAUGCCAGGGUCUAUGAAUAUGCAUGGUUAUGCUAAUUAGGAGCCACUUCAGUGUCUUCCUAACAUUCCCAGAAUUUCGAUAAGACAGGAACACGUCUGGUUAUUAUUAUUAUUAUUAUUAUUAUUACGUUAUUAUUAUAUUAUUAUUAUUAACAUGUUGUGGUUUUAUUCAAACGUUUUUUUUGUAUAUUUUUUUCUUCCAGUCGGAAGCCAGGAAUCACGCCUUAUUUGCAUAAUUACUAAACAUCGCCGACGCUGACUACCUCGGCGAGCUAGCUCGCGGGCCAGAGAGCAAGACGAGCGGGAUCUCAGGAUGCAUGUCUUGAGGCUCGUGUUGUCGAGUUCUCUGUGAUUUAUUUAACGGCAGCCAAAGCUGUUCCCAUAGCAACCGCAAUUUUAAUAUCACUAACGUUAGCUAGGUUAGCUAGCUUUGGACGGGGAUUAUUAUUUCCAGGGAUUACACUGUUGUGAUAUCUCUCUCUCUCUCUCGCUAUCUCUCUCUCUGGAGCACUCAGCAGCGAUUUUUUCCUGCCAAAUCCAGCGAUUGUUUUGUUGUGAUUUCUCCUUUGAUCCCUUUUACUAGUUUAGGUUUCAUUUUGGACGGCGAUUCGCGGCCCGUCCUGGCGCCCUCGCACUAUUUCAUGAGGAGCUGCUAAAAACAUUCGCCGUCUCCACAACACAGCGCGCUCUUCGAGCCGCACCUAAUGACCGGAGGAAAGCUGGAGACUGCAGAAGCGGGGAAUAAAAAACUUUUUCAUUUAGCGUGGAGAGUCGUGUCGAGCCGAGAGUCCAGAAGCGGCUUUGGUGGAGCUCGGUGGAGGGGGGGGGGACCAAACCCGGUUGCCAAACUCGAAUCCUUCGUACCCUCCGUGUCGUAAAUUUUGAAGUGCUUCACAAUCGAGCGUAAAGUUUUUCCUAAACCUCUGAGGUUUGCGAGCUCCGUUCUCCGGUCUGUCCUGGGCUCGAAGGGAACGCCAGCGCUGCUAAUCACGGCUCGGUUUGAACCUUUAGUAUCUUCUUCAUUCGGGUUCCUUUUCGUUUGUCCUGCCAUGUUCGACGGAUACCAUAAAAAGUUUAAUAGAGGAAAUUUCUGAAGGGCCUCGAGCGGCUCGUAAAAAAGAAAGAAAGGGAAGAGAGAAAAAAAGCCGUGAGAAGGGAGCGUUUAACGAACGUCAUCGCCUGCGCUGCCGCUGCGCUCACAGACGUCCAUUGUGCUGUAAAUGUCGAAGCGUCACACGAAGGAUCACAAAGACCUCUCGGGCAUGCCGAUCCAGACCAGAUCAGACCAGAGCGUCUCACGUUUUAUCCUAACGUCAGCCAUCUUGAAGGGUUUGACGUGAUCUUGGACUGGGUCUGGAGGUCAGUUAACGCCGAAGCGUUUAACCCGAAUGUUAGUGGCAGCCAUUUUUAUUAUUGGCAGCAGUUUUUUUAGUGGUGGAAACUAUUUGAGUGGCAGCAGUUUUUUUAGGGGCAACAAUUUAUUUAUUUAUUUUUUGGCAUGGAAGCAGUUGUUUUUAGUGGCCAGAACGAUCGAUGUGGCAGCAGUUUGUUUAGUGGCAGCGAUUUGUUUAGUGGCAGCGAUUUAUUUUUUUGAGUGGCAAACGCUUUUCUAGUGGCUGCAAUUUUAGUGACAAAUAUUGCUUUAGUGGCAGCACCUUUUGAAUAGUUCUGGUGUUGGCAGCAAUUUGUAAGUGGCAGCAGAACCGGUCUUUCUUUCUUUCUUUUUUUAGCUGUAGCGAGCGAAUUAGUGCGUUUUGGUGGUGGAAUUUUUGUUGUGGCAGCUGUUUCCCAGUGAUAAAAGCAGUGUGUUGUGGACACAUACAGCCCAUCGGUCAGCAAUAAUAACACUCUGUGAGCAAUGCCAGGGCAUCUCGUCGGAAUGAACCCCAGGUGCUUGGGCGAUCAUGGGCCAGUUUUAAAGGCUGCGUCCAACUCGUUUUCAGUUAACGAGGAAACCACUCGCAAGGAAAGGCCGCUCUUUUCCAAGAAGACGUUUGGUUCAAUUAAGCGAUGUUAAAUGACCGCCAGUUACACGUUAUCGCUGCAUACCACCCGUAAAAGCCCACCGGACUCGAACAUACUGCAGUGAGUUCAGUCCAAAGUGGCUAUACAGUUAAAUUCUUGUCAAAUGAACAGCAGUGUUUCCAGAAGCUUCCAGAAUACUUGCUUACGCUUCCUACAAUCCUGUCAGGUCUAGGUUUUAGUCGGCUUUCCCACCGACCGAGUUACCGUUCGAAUGAAGACGGUGCUGUUUAACCUGCGAGAUCAUUCGUUUGUGGUGACCGUUCAUCCAUCAGUAAUAACCUGCAAAUAGGCCACACCCACAAGCGAGAUUCGCUAACCUUGACGGUGAUGUCCGUGGAUUGUUCACUUGGCGGUUCAUCUGUUGGUGGUGUUGUUGGGGGGGGUUUUUUCUCCUUGCAACUGCUAAAUACAUAAAUAAUCAAUAAGAGGUGAAGGAGCAGAGGUGAGGGAUAACAGGGAAGGGCGUGAAUGGGGGGUUCAAGCACAACUUUCGCCUAUUAAAAAAAAAAAAAAACGUCUACGUCUACAUGUUUAGAAUCUAAAAAAAAAAACAACGACCAAUUAUUAGCUAUGGAUGUUCCCUCGAAGUAAUUCCGCUACUGUUGUUGCCAUUAAGCUACAACAGUUUAGCUAGCUAGGCUAACUGUGUUCACGUUACUCUCGAAUCCAAGUUUUUAAAAAAAUAUGAACUAUUCAGUCAUGUACAAAGUCCUCUGAAUGCAAUUUGAAGCUCAAGGUGUUGACUGUUUUUACUAGACCCACCUCACGCGUACCCCUCCCCCACCCGCACUCAGAUAAGAGAUCUCCUGUUGGGCCUCGUGCUGAGGUGAUGAAUUAGCUUAGCCACGUUACGCCGCGUGUGUUAUUGUUGAGCGCUGAUUUAUCGAGCGCCUUGAGCUCGGGUCACUCCCUCCCUCCCUCCUUCGUCCCCCGUCUUCUUCUUCUCCUUUUGUCUCUCGUCUGCUUUUUCGGUUCCCGAUCCGAGACGCCUGAUUGAUGAGGUCUCGCACAAAGAAGGCACUCUGAGGCGCGCAGAUCUAGCGUUCGCUGCUACGGUAAAUAAAAACACAUGUGCCUCAGCAAAAGAGAGGAGGUGGAGGAGGAGGAGGAUGGAGGAUGGAGGGAGACGGUGCUGCAGAGGCCCGACUGGCAUUCCUUGUGCUGUCCCCUAGUUCAUUCCUCUUUAUGUCAUCAUAAACUGUGGUUUUGUUGGUUUAACGCUCGAGGUUAGCGCUCUAGGUUAAGAGACGAGAGGAAGAAAAGUAGGGCAGAAAGCAGCCGGAACUGAUAUUUCAUUCUUGUGUAAACGGAGGGUGAUUUAAAGAUGGCUGACCCCUGAACCUUGUGUGUGUGUGUGUGUGUGUGUGUGUGUGUGUGUGUGUGUGCGUACACGGACUCGUCCAUUUUGCUGAUUCAUUGCUGUUUCAUUAAUAAAACGAGGCUAACUCCCUCAUCUCCAAGCUUAGCUUAGCUUCUGUAACAGAAACACUCCCAUGUUUGAGUCUAAAAGCGGGCUAAAAAUUUGUUUAAAAACUUUCGCUCUUCUGCGCCACUUGGACAUCAAAGAUACGACCGCCAUCUUGUUUGUGCUAACUGAACGUGGUUGGUUUUCGUGUAAAAUGGCAGACGCCAGGCACCGUUCUCAGUUUCUAUAUUAACGGCUCGCUCAGAGGGAUGUUUUUUUUUUUUUAAAGGAUAAGGAGACGUUUAUUUGACAUGGAAGGAGUCUCCGGUGUCAGAGUUAACACUGCGACUUUCAGUUUUCCGUACGAUGAUGACGACAAUGAUGAUGAUGAUGUAUGAAUAUAUUUCUGGAAUAAUAAUACUUAUAUUGUGAACUAGAGGAAGCUUGUGUUUUUAGCAUGUCUGCUCUUCAGUAAGUAAUUUCGGGAAGUUCAGGCGAAGUUCAGGCGAAGUUCCCGUGUUUGAUCCUCACUGCCUCGUCUCUCUACGGGAGGUAAAUAUAUUCAUAGAGGAAGAAAUCCGUGACUGUGUGGGUGUGAGACGGCUUUAGGCUCGGGUCUUUGCCAUGCUUUGAUCAGUGCGCUCUAUUUUGCGAACGUUGCGUAACCAUCCCUCUCGUCGGAUGCAGAAGAAUCCCUCCUGUCUUUCCUAAUCUUCUCCUUCUCCUGCCUCGUUCCACACCGACUCGUAAUGCUGACUUCCAUCCAAAUUCUUUCAUACUCCCUAAUCACUAAACACCUUCAUUACUCCACUGUGGGCGUGUCCCAAACCAACCACCGUAUUCAGUAUAUAGGCUAAGUAACCACCUUCAUUACUCCACAGUGGGCGUGUCCCAAAAUAACCAACAGCCCUAUCAUCCAUCUCUGUCUGUUUUAAAGGUUUUCCCGCGUUUAGUUUUAGCACUCGUACUCCGUGCUACGCCACAAGACGAAUUCUUCUGUCUCCACUGCGUCUGUUUUGAUCGGCUCGGGCUCCCUGCAUUUGACCUUUGACCUCCCAGGGUCAUUGUCCAUUACCGCUUGAAACGGAACAUCAGCAGCCCUCCUGCUAAAAGCAUUUGUCUUCUCCUGGGUCAUUGGGCCGACCCCGCUCGCUUCUGCCAAACCACUUACUUACACACACACACACACACACACACACACACACUGGAGGAGGCGCUGAAACUUCAAAUGCCUCAAGCAACCGUUGCUAACUUCAUCAGUUGAGGCUUAACGUGCUACAGAGCUUCAGAUGAUGAAAGAAUAUUAACAUCAGGAGCAAGCUGGCUAGG